GACCUGUUAGUGCAGUUGGUCAGAGUGUGGUGCUAAUAACGCCAAGGUCGUGGGUUCGAUCCCCGUAUGGGCCA